CUAAGCAGAAAUGUCUGUGUUUCAGGAAUCGGUGACCUUCAAGGAUGUGGUAGUGGACUUUACCCAAGAAGAAUGGAAACAGCUGGACCCUAUACAGAGAGAUUUGUUCAGGGAUGUGACGCUGGAAAAUUAUACACAUCUGGUCUCCAUAGGUAAGUAUGACCCCCUGAGUUAAGAUUGGGCUGUGAAGGGGGAGGGCUCUCUCCUCACUUUUCCUUUAGGUUCAGGAGCCAACAAUAUUUAGAUUUUGAGUUUUUAAGGUAGUUUCUACUUCUUUUUUUUUAAUGUUUAUUUUUUAGUUGUACACAAUACCUUUAUUUAUUUUUAUGUGGUGCUGAGGAUUGAACCCAGGGCCUCACAUGUGCUAGACAAGCGCUGUACCACUGAGCCACAACCCCAGCCCAGUUUCUACUUCUUAAUAAGCAGAGGGACAAACUAAUAAUUUUCUUGAAUCCCAUCCAUGUUUAGGAACCAGGUAACACUGAAGCUUGAUACACUAUUUGUUCCCGUCAGGUUUGUCCCACAUACCAGUUUCUCUAAACCAAAGUGAUGAGACUGAAACUGAAUUCUGAUAUGGUCUUCUUCCCUAACUGCAGACAGAUUCUUUUAUUUAUUUAUUUUUAUUCCCCUUGGCAGGACUCCAAGUUUCCAAACCUGAUGUGAUUUCCCAGCUAGAGCAAGGGACAGAGCCAUGGACUGUGGAACCAUUAUGUCCCCUUGGAGGUGAGUAAUGUGUGCUGGCAGAUGAAUGUCACUAGCUCCAGCUGCCAGCCCAGCAAGGGAGGGUUUCAUGCCCGAGCUGUCAGUGUGUAUGCUUCUCUGUAAAGUAUGUCCUGUAGAGAAAGAAAAAUUAUCUAUCCUGCCUAGUCUUAUAUUCUGUCAUGCAACUGUCAUAAUUUAUAUUCUAUUUUUGCAUUCCUUCUAGAGGAUUGGUCAUUCCUGCCUAGUCCUAAAGCCAGGAUCUCUGUCUGCACUCUGGGUUCCCUUUCCUGCUUCCUUUGGGACCUUGAUCUCAUAAUUUUCCAUUUAUUUUUUAUCGCCCCGUUUUUUGUUUUGGAUCUACAGGUUCUAUCCCUGUUAACCAUCAAACAGAAACAGUCUAUAUUUCCAAAUACGAUUACUCAACACUAUUCAUCUUUUUGCCUACCAUCCUCCCUCUCUUUUCUUUCCAAACCUAGCUCACCAAAAGUGGUCUCUGUAGCAGCAACCUGCAUCCCUUCACUUUCUGCAUCUCAUGCAGACCUUCUGAUUCUGUCACUUUUCUAGACUUAUUUUGAAGCUGCAAGUUGGCCUUCUUCUAAAUCAUCAGUGUCUAAACUGCACAGAGAAACCUUUUCUAAGACCGAUCCUGGGGAAGGAAUAACUAGUCUCUCUAGGCAAGGAAUAUAUCCCUAGAGUUAAUGGGAUGCAGUUGGAAAUUCUCUUUUAUAGCGGGAAUAAAAAUGUGAGUCAUGGGGCUAGGGUUGUGGCUCAGUGUAGAGCACUUUCCUAGCAUAAGUGAGGCACUGGGUUCGAUCCCCGGCACCACAUAAAAAAAUAAACAAAUAAAGGUAUUGUGUCCAUCUACAACUAAAAAAAAAUGUGAGUCAUAUGUAAUUUGGAAAUGCUAGAUUAGCUAAAAUUAUAACAAGUUUUUUACUUGAGUACCAUGCAGAGAUUUUUUUUAAAUAGGCAAUUAAGUGUUAUAAAUCCCAUGGUUGAUGUGUGAGGUGUCCCCCAAAAGCUCAUGUGUGAGAUAAUGCAAGACGUUUUACAGGUGAAAUGAUUGGGUUAUGAGACCCCUUAACCAGUAAAUGGGUUAAUCCACUGAUAUGGAUUAACUGGAGGAAGUGGGUCACUGGAGGCAGGACUUCGUGUUUAUAUUUGGUGAAGUGAGCUUUCUCUGCUUCCUGGUGUCAUGCUCUGAGCUGCUUUCCUCUGCCAUGUUCUUCCAUCAUGAUGUUCUGUCUCACCUUGGGCCCAGAGCUUUGGAGUCAACCAGCCAUGGACUGACCCUUUUAAACUGUGAGCCAAAAUAAGUUUUCUCUUCUCUGCAUUAUUCUCCUCAGGUCUUUUGGUCACAGUGCCAAAAAAUCUGACUAAAAAAAUAUGUUUCCAAAAGGUUCACAGACUAUGACUUUUUCUUUCUCCCUUUUCCUCUCCAUCUCCCUGCUUUCUCUCCCCUUUGUCUAACUAUGAAGAUGAUUUCUUGGAAUAUAAUCCAGAAAAUUGUUUUUUAUAAGAGCUUAUUAAUUGGUGCUUACAGUUUAUUAACUUUGGUAAAAAACAAAUUGUGAAGUUGUAUCACAAAUUAAAAAUGAAGUUUCAGAAAGUCCUGACUUGUCCAGAGAGAAAACAAUUUUAAAACAUUUAAAUGUGUAUUCAAAAACCUCGGGCAUUUUUUUAAAAAAAUGCAGUAGUCAUAAAAGAAAUUCAUUUAGGUCAAAAUAUAAAACCCCAUGUUGCAUAGGUGAAAUAUAGGUAGUUACAGUUACCUGAUCAGUGGACAGAAAGCAAAUGUUUGAGGUAUUUAGCUUUUUUUUGGUUACUUUUUAUUGCUGGAAUUUGACCCUAAUGAUGGUAGUCGUAGGAAACCAGCCUCCAGCCUUGCUUUCUUCACUGUUUGGAAUAGAUUUAUCUUUGGUGUAGGAUAGCUGCUUGUGUUUAUAAAGAUAACUCCAGCUGUACAGACAUCUGAACAGGUAAUUGGAAUGGAGACAGUACCUGCAUUGCGGUGCCCUGGGCCUGCCUCCUUCAUCUCUUCAUCCUCUUUCUGUCCUCUUCUCUAGGCUGUCUCGGUAGCCGCCUCUGCAGAAUCAGCACCUAAAAUCCUGAUGUGUCUGCUUUGCCAGUCUGCCUUGUUCUGCAUCCUGGUUUUCAGCACCCUCAGUUUAUGCACUGGGUAUUAGAAUGUUUUGGUCAGUGCCUGGAGAUGAGGAAUACAGUAAAAUGAUUUGGAACUGCUUUCUGAGUAGGGUGCUGGUGUUCAGCAUGGUCUUCUGGAACCUUCUCCAGAGAAGUUUGUUUUUUUAUUGUUGUUAUUGUUUUGUAGGGCUGGGAAUUGAACCCAGGGCCUUGUGCAUGCAAGGCAAGGACUCCACCAACUGAGCUAUAUUCCUAGCCCCGUGAUCUAAUCUUGUUGUCUUCAGCUGAGACACCAGUCGUUGUUGGUGACUGGCCAUGUCCACGCCCUUUUAUCCUUCAGCAACACCCAGCUCUGUGGUUUGCAUUAUCCCUCAGUGCAGAACUUCUCGGACGUACUCCUUAUGGUCAUCUGAUGUAUGAAUGCAUCUUCCUUGGUGUCCUUCCUGUUGAUGGAGACAUUCAUUUAACUACUUGGCUGUGCCGAAGGCUGGCUGCACUGAUCUUGUCUUUGUGGGGAAGUUCUACCGCUAUGAGGCUGCCUGCAUGCAUGCUCUGCCAUGCCCAUAUCCCAGGGGUGGAAGGGAUGGUAGGCCUCUCUGGGGUCUUGCUUAGCUCAUGCUUGCAGACUGUGGUAAGUGGGAAAGACUCAGGGCUCUCUGGAGUGUGCUGUUUACCUUCCUGUCCCAGGGGAACUGAAGAAAUGCAACCUGAAAGAACUUGUUCAUGGCAGAACCUAAAGUGUUGAUCCCAUGCUUCUGUGGUCAUCUCUCUAGUCUGGGAAAACACUCUGCUUUCUGAUUGUCCAUUUCCUGGCCUUUUUGUUUCUUUGCUGUACUUGCCCACAAGCUGCUUUUCUUCUUUUUGCAUAUUUCACUCAUCUCAUUACCCUCUGGGCCCUCAAGGAUCGCCCCUACCUCUGCUCUUCUUUUACUUCCUUUCCUAGCCUGCAGUUGAACAUCCUGCUCAUCCUGUACCUUGUGGCGUCUUCCACCCUCACAGGCACGACCGUGGUCCAGACCUGUUUUUUCUCCACUUUCGCAGAGUGCUUAACUAGAACUUAACUAUCUUCCUCCCCUUAAGUUGUUUCUAGACAGCUCUCCCAUUUAUAACAGCGAUACUACCAUAUCCUCCAUGGUCCAGGCUAACAACCAUGGGGCCCUAGCCCAGUCUUUCUGAUCUGCCCUGUUUUUAAAUCAGUAUUCUUGGACUUGUUGUAUUGUUCAUUAGCAUGGAAUCCUAGUUCUGGCUGCCCCUUUCAGAUUCAGGCCAUUUAUGCCUAUCUUUAACCGUCUCCAGUCACCUUUUUAAUCAUCACCUUAAAUGGAGUCUCCUCGCUCAUUCUGAGAAAUUAUCUGUAAAGUUGAAGUAGGCUUUCUUUUGCCAUAUUCUUAAGUUGUUUAUUGUUCUUAGCUCUUUCUUUCUCCCCAAUAAUAGGGUUAUAUACUUAUUUUUAGCUUCAUUAGAUCAUUCCCACAAUAGUAGUUCUUUUUUCUCAGUUCAAGGGAACACUCACAUUUUAUUUUAUUUCAGAAGGGGAGACAAGACCUGAAGAUAGUGUUCCCCGCCCAGAACUGGGCAUCUCUUCAGAGGUGAUAGUGGGAACAUACAGAAGGGAAGAUAUUUGGAGUUCCCAUGUCUUGGAGUCUCAGGUAUCUGGAUGCAAUAUAGAGAGGCAGCAAGCAAACCAACAGACACCACCAAGUGAAGUAGAAGUGGUCAAAAAAAUAGUACCCACCUGGGAGGGAGGCCCUGCCACGAACGAACUUGAAAAAAGCAUCGUUGUGAGUUCAAGCCUUUUAGCACAGCAGGAAAUAUCUCCAGGACAGGCUUUUGCUAAAGUAAGCAUCAAACAGAAUUCACACACAGUGAAAAAAGAGAAGUCUUGUAAGUGCAGUGAAUGUGGUAAAGCUUUUAGUUAUUGUUCUGCUCUUAUCCGCCAUCAGCGAACACAUACUGGAGAAAAGCCUUACAAAUGUAAUGAAUGUGAAAAGGCCUUCAGCCGGAGUGAAAACCUUAUAAACCAUCAGAGAAUUCACACUGGAGAUAAGCCAUACAAAUGCGAUCAGUGUGGAAAAGGCUUCAUUGAGGGCCCAUCUCUUACUCAGCAUCAAAGAAUACACACCGGAGAAAAGCCCUAUAAAUGUGAGGAGUGUGGGAAGGCCUUUAGUCAGAGGACGCAUCUUGUUCAGCAUCAGAGGAUCCACACGGGUGAGAAGCCUUACACUUGUAAUGAUUGUGGAAAAGCUUUUAGCCAGAGAGGUCAUUUCAUGGAACAUCAGAAGAUUCAUACAGGAGAGAAGCCUUUCAAAUGUGAGGAGUGUGAUAAGACUUUCACCAGGAGCACACACCUCACUCAACAUCAGAAAAUUCACACCGGAGAGAAAACCUACAAGUGUAAUGAAUGUGGCAAGGCCUUCAACGGGCCCUCGACCUUCAUCCGUCACCACAUGAUUCACACGGGCGAGAAGCCCUAUGAGUGCAACGAGUGUGGCAAGGCCUUCAGCCAGCACUCGAACCUCACCCAGCACCAGAAGACACACACCGGCGAGAAGCCCUAUGACUGCGCAGAGUGCGGGAAGGCCUUCAGCUACUGGUCAUCCCUCGCGCAGCAUCUCAAGAUCCACACUGGGGAGAAGCCCUACAAGUGCAGUGAGUGCGGAAAGGCCUUCAGUUACUGCUCGUCCCUUACGCAGCACCGGAGAAUCCACACCAGAGAAAAGCCCUUUGAGUGUAGCGAGUGUGGAAAGGCUUUCAGUUACCUCUCCAACCUCAACCAGCAUCAGAAAACUCACACCCAGGAGAAAGCCUAUGAGUGUAAGGAAUGUGGGAAAGCCUUCAUUCGGAGCUCAUCUCUUGCCAAGCACGAAAGGAUUCAUACCGGGGAGAAACCCUAUCAGUGUCACGAAUGUGGGAAAACCUUCAGCUACGGCUCAUCCCUCAUCCAGCACAGGAAGAUCCACACUGGAGAGAGACCGUACAAGUGUAACGAAUGUGGGAGAGCCUUCAACCAGAACAUACACCUCACACAGCAUAAGAGGAUCCACACAGGAGUGAAGCCUUAUGUGUGUCCCGCAUGUGGGAAGGCCUUUCGGCAUUGCUCCUCUCUCGCACAGCACCAGAAAACUCACACGGAAGAAAAGCCCUACCAGUGCAAUAAAUGUGAGAAGACGUUCAGCCAGAGCUCCCACCUGACUCAGCACCAGCGCAUUCACACUGGAGAGAAGCCCUAUAAGUGCAGUGCAUGUGACAAAGCCUUCAGCCGCAGCACUCACCUGACGGAACACCAGAACACGCAUUCCGGAGAGAAGCCUUACAACUGCAGCGAGUGCAGGAAGACCUUCAGCCAGAGCACUUACCUGACUCAGCAUCAGAGAAUACAUUCAGGGGAGAAGCCUUUUGGCUGUAGCGACUGUGGGAAAGCCUUCAGGUAUCGGUCAGCUCUCACCAAGCACCAGAGACUGCACCCUGGCAUCUGACCGUCCUGGAAGCAUCGUGGGUGUAGGUGCUGCGUGUGCUUGGGUUUGUGCUUUUGUUACGUACUGAAGAAUCGGUAGACAGAAACUCCUCAAGCAUUUGACCUUUUCACUACUGUGAUAUGGGAUGGAAAGUACACUGGCUGAACCCCUGUGGCAGUGGGAAGCUCAAGUGUUUUAAACUUUAGUUUCCUCUGUGAAAUCAGAGUUUGGGGGUUGAUGAUCUCAGCGGCAGUUAGGAGUUUUAUACUCAGUUUUGUAUAUCUACAGUAUAUCCUUAAAUAGUUUGUGCAUCAGGCUUUUGGUGGUGCAUCUAGAAUGUGUAUGUUCAUGCAUGUUUUGCCAGUAGAAGGAAUUCGUGCUUCAGUCACGAGGGAUCUGUUUGACUCCUGUUCUAAUGCACUAAGUUGCUUAGGCUAUUGCUUUCUAAUAAAAAGAACUACAAAGGACCCUCAGUUCAGAUGUAUGUGACAGCCUAACUCCACUUGCGUAUUAAAAGUUGGUAGUCAGGUGGGUGCUCUGCCCCUGUAGUCCAGCUACUCAAGAGUCUGAGCCCAGGAGUUCAACACCACAUUGGACCACAUAGUAGGAUCCCAUCUCAAAAAAACAAAAAGGUAUUCUAGUUUAUUUUUAAUAUUCUGGGAGUUUGUUACAGUCACAUUGGUCUGCUUCUGCAUCUCACAGCAGCAUUACUUAACCCUGGUUGCACAUGGGAAUCAUAUGAUGUCUUAGUUUAGAUUGCUAUAACAAAUUAUAGCCAGGUUUGGUGGCAUAUACCUGUAAUCCCCGAGACUUGGGAGGCAGUAGGAUUACAAGCUUGAGGACAGCCUCACCAACUUGGUGAGACCCUGUCUCAGAAAAUAAACAAGGAUGGGGAUAUUGCUUAGCAGUAGAGUACCUCUGGGUUUAAUCCCCAGUUCCAUAAAACAAACCAACAAAAAUUUACCAUGGAAAUUUAUGGAGUCAGUAAUCUGAGGUCCAGGCUCGAAUGGACCUAGUAUCUGCUGACAGCCCACUUCGUGGUUGUAGAUAGCUGUUUUCUUGGAUGCUUACUUGGCAAAGAGCAGAGAAAGAGAAAGCAAGCUCUCUUUUUAUAGGGUACCAGUCAAGUUCAUGGGGGCUGCACCCUCAACCUAAUACCUCCCCUCAGUGCCUCACACCAAAUACUGUCCCACUGGGGGUAAGCUGCCAACGUGUGCAUUUGGACCGGACACUUCAGGAACGCCACACAAUUCCAUUGCCCAGGCCCCACCCCAUAGACUGUAACUUACUUGGAUUAGGAUAUGGGAUCCAGGAUCCAGGUUUUUUUUAUGUUGUUUGCUUUUAACGUCUCACGUGUGCCCUGGAGAGAGCGAUUGGCUCAGAUUUCAGUGCGCACUCGUUCAGUCAGGAGCCUCUGUGGCUGCUCCUGGAAGCCUCGUAGAUCAGCUCUCAGAGGUAAGGUCAGUUUGUUUCGUCACCUUGGUGCAAAAACAAAAUUAUAACGUUUACACUGAUGACGGUCACUUCACAUGUCUCUGGCUUCCUUACAUCAGAAGCAGUUGACACCCUGGGGAGACAUGGCCCAUAAUCUACAUGACCACUCUGGCCCUGUUCAGGAAACACGUUUAGCCAAAGAGUAAUGCACCUUCUCUUCCCUCUAGGUGCAGCCUAGUUCUUAUCAGGCCAGGUCGUUUACGAGUAGUUGGUCAUUUCUCAGCCUGAACUUGAACAUGAAGAGCUCUUGAGAGCAGCAGGCAGCACAGAAACGGGUAUUUCCAGAAAAGAAGAGGGGGUGAGGGACACCAGUGCUGUUCUCUUUGCCUGUGUAAUUGUGCUCCUUCCUCGACGGCAGAUGCCAGUGAAGGGCAGAUGGAAGUUAGAAGUGGAACAGUGCAGCCACUUAAGUACUGGACUUUUCUUUGUUGCAGCUUGAAGCAGCUAUACAGGAAUGUUUCUUGUUAUUAGUUUCCCAAGUCUUUCUUCACGCAGGAAUUAUAGUUAUCCCAUCACUUAGAGAGGGGGACACAAUCAUCUUUGCCUGGCAUCUGAGUAGCCCCCACAGUACAAAGAAAUGCAGAGUCUACAUACAGGCAGAGGGUCCUUCAGCCCCAGAGGAGAUCUGAAAAUGGACAAAAUCAGUCUGCAGUGGAAGGAUGGGUCACUUCGGUUCCCAUAUGAAAAAAGAAUUUAGGUGGAAAUUCCACUAAACCUGAAAAAUGACAGUUUGUGGCAUUUGAUUUUAUCUCAUUACAGGUACUCUUGGAUCAGACUCGGCGCCAAGAAUGUGUGAUCACCUCCUAACUCAGUCACACUCCUACAGAAGUGACCUCUCAGGCCUCCCUCUGCUUGCUUGGAUUUGUUUCCCUGUGUUUUAGAAGUGUGCUAACUGCUCCCAGGUGAUCGAGGUUGAGAAGGGUAAGCAGCGAGGCCUCGGAAGUUAGCAUUGUCCUGUUUCUGGAUCUCCUUCUUAUGUAUUUAGCCUCUUUGCUGGCUGUCCCAGACCAUGUCCCUAAGCAGUAGACCUGCAGUUGCUGCUGAUCCAAGGAUCUGUCCUUUAUCACCCAAGAUGCACCUCGGCUCCCUACUUCCCUUUUUUUAUACCUUAACUCCCAAUUUAAGAACAGAACAAGGAAGUGACUAUCAUUUCUGACUUUUUCCCCUCCUAAUUCUAUAAUUCUGUGUCAUCUCUAUCAUACACAUAACACUAAUAUUAGUUCCUUAAUAUUUAUCAACUGGGAAUGUAAGCAGAAUUAAAAUCUAGAGAAUUAUAGAUGCAGCUCACCAUCUGUGUGACCACUGACCCUGGAUGGUGAGAGCUGUGACCUGAUGAGUCCAUCCUCGUUUGAAUGGACUGGUGGUAACCACGGGCAGGUGGGGCAUGCCUGGAGGAGGUGAGUCACUGGGGACCUGCCCAGCAUUUUCCCUGUGGCCCCUUCCUUCCUUCCCUGCUUCCUGAGCUGAGCAGCUUCCCUCUGAUGGGCUCUUCCUCCAUGAUGUGCUGCCUCACCUUGUGCUCAGAACAAUGGAGUUGGCCGUCUAUGGACUGAGACCUUUGAGCCCCAGUAAAUUUUUCUUUCUCUUAGUUGUUUUUUAUUUUAUCUUUCCACGUGUUUCAGUCACAGUGAUGCAAAAGCUCACUAAAACAGAUGCAAACCUGGGGUUAAAACUUGUGACACAGCCUAUAUGUGUGCUUGACUUUAGUAGACACUGCCAAAUAGUUCCCCAGUUUACAGUCCCACCACCCAUGUUUGAGAACUUCCAUUGUCCCACAUCUUUGCCAACUUCUCACUCACUGUGGACGUCAACAGCCACUGUGUCAAGUAGGGCAGAGUUCCACUCCAGAGAGAUGCUUUGGAGAGUCUACAGUGUGUAUUUAAAGUUGUGGGACUGGAUGCCAUGGCUAAAGUGGGGGCGUGGAAGUAGAUAAAGAAAAGUUCUGAGGACUGGCGCUUGGUAACUCCAGCUUCUAAGGGCUGGGGCAGAGGUCGCCUAGCAUGUGUGAGGCCCUGGGUUCCAAUGCCACCAUCACACACAAUAUCCAACUUUUAGAAAUCAGGAAGAUGAGGAUCCACAUGGGAAGCAAGCAGCAGGUGUUUCGGGAGGACGAGCAGCAGGGUGUAGAAUCCUGGAAGCUAGAGAAAGCCGUGUUUCAGGAUGAGAGGCUGACCAUCAUGGCAGACACUGCUGAGGCUGAAUGAGAGGCAGACAGUCGGCUUCAGAUUUGGCAAAGGGGACAAGGGUGAUCUUAAAAGCAGUUUUGGAAAAGUAAAUCUAAACCCUGGAGGGGUAAAUAUGAGAAAGGAAGCAACUGGAGAAAGCAAAUUUGAACACUGGUGUUUUGCUGUAAAAGAAAGAAAUGGGUAGUUGCCAGUAGGCAUCAUGGAGUUGGGGACUUCGUAACAUGAGGUACUACAGUUGGAAAGCUGUUGGGAUUGGACCAGAGAGGGAAAAAUGGUGAUCCAGAAGAGAGAGAUAAGUAGCAUGGAGUCCUUGAGGAAGCAGGAUGAGAUGAGCCUUGGGUACAGUGGCAGGGUGGGCUUAGAAGACAAGCACAGUGUGGUUGUUAGAAUAGGAGGGGACAUGAGUCCUCGCGCUUGGUCACGGGGCUGGGGGGACGUCUGACGUUCCCUUCUGUUUUGAUUUUUCCGUAGAAAUUAGGUAACAAAUUAAGGAUAAGAAGAGGUUAAAGAGGUGUUAGAGAGGUUUGGGGAGAGGCGAUGAGGUCAACUCCUACAGUGUGGGAGAGCGAACUGUUCUUAGAGAUGUAAGGUUGGAGGCAGCACCAGCAGUGCCCAUGGGGCACUAGUUCAUGAGUUAAAGGAGACAAAUUGUCAUUAAGUGUUCUUCAGCAACCGUUAGCUGCGUGGGAGCAGGGGUAGAAGAAGCUGAAACUGGGAUAGCCAGAAGUUUUCUAGGAGAAGAGACCAAGAGCAGGGGUGCUUACUUAAGGGGAUUGCUGCGAGGGCUAUAGAAUUCAGGCUGGGAGGAAAGAAUAAGGGUUGGAGGUGGGUGGUGGGAGAAGGUGAGGGAUUAGCAAAGGAAAAAAAAUUCAUGGCUCUUACAAUUUUAGGUUUUGUUGGGACUGAAGAAAUGGAGCAGAUGUCGUAAUCUCCCCAAGAGUGAGGGAGUGCCUUCUGCCAGAAGGGUGGGUGGUCCAGUUGACAGCUGGGGUCUCCCUGCAGCUAGGGGCUCUGGGUGACAGAAUCAUGGUCUGAAAGUGCAGCAAAGAACUAGAAGGCCCCUUCCUCUGCUCCAGGCCUGGGUAAGUUAGGUGUGGAUGUUGAAGCAAGGAAGAGGAGCCAGAAUCUUCUGGAGAGUUGUUUUUGAAUCUGUGAUAUAUGUUCUUGUGAAUUUCAUCAUUAUGCUGAAUAUCAACCAGAAAGUUACUUCAACAAUUUGGGAACAUUUUGAAUUAAGGAUGGUGAUCGAAGAGCCUGGUUUCUCAAAUCUCACAGUAAAAAAAAAAGAACAAAGAAGAAGAAGAAAGGCAAUAGAAGAGGGCCCUUAGAUCCCCAGCACCUCGAAACAAAUUGAUUUUUUUGUUUUUUGUUCAUCAGUGUGAUUUUGCUUAAUGUGAGUCAGUCCCUUCUUGAACUCCUACUGCUGAUCACACCUAGUUUUAAGAACUCGGCACUAGGCUCUGGACGAUGACUACAGCAACAGUUACUCAUUGAAUAGCAACAUUGCAGUCCACUUUUGAGGCAUGAUCUCAUUUUUUUAUAACAACCCCUGGAGGCUUGAGUUGCCAUACCCAUUUUCAUAGGUGAUGAAACAAUCAUAUAAGUGGUGGAGACAGCUUUCAAUUUCUGGUCUUGCUUCAAAGUCUGUACUUUUCCACUCAUCACAAUGCCUACCACAGGUAGUGCUGUCCUGGGUACUGGGUUUUGGGUAGUGACAAGGACAUAGCCACACCCUUGCUUCAACCUCCAUCACAGUUUGGAACUUCUCUUUCAUAUACCCAGUAUUUAAUCUCUAUGGCACUUCCCUUUUGGGCCUAAGCCAUCACACAGAUGCAAAAAUACUUAAUAAAAUAUUAGCAAAUCAUGUCCAACAACAUAUCAAGAUUACACACCAUGACCCAGAUGGUUUUAUUCCACAGACGCAAGGAUGGCUUAAAAUAUGCAAAUCAAUAAAUAUAAUUCAUCACCUAAAGAGGAUUAAGGCCAAAAAAAUCACUAAAUCAUCUCAACAGAUGCAGAGAAGACCUUUGACAAAAUUUAGCACCCAUUCAUGAUAAAGACACUGAAGAAACUAGAGAUAUAAGGAACCUACCUCAAUAUCAUAAAGGUUGUAUAUGAAAAAUCCAAAGCCAACCUCAUAGUAAAUGGGGAAAUACUGAAUGCAUUUUCUAAAAUCUGGGACAAGACAAGAUGUCCACUCUCACCACUCCUAUUAAAUAUAGUGCUAGAGGGCUGGGGUUGUGGCUUAGUGGUAGAGCACUUGCCUAGCAAAUGUGAGGCACUGGGUUCAGUCCUCAGCACCACAUAAAAAAUAAACAAAAUAAAGGUAUUGUGUUCAUUUAUAACUAAAUAUUUUUUAAAAUAUAGUGCUAGGAAAUCUAGCCAGAUUAAUUAGGAAAGAGAAGGAAACAAAAGGGAUAAAAACAAAAAAGGAAAAAGUCAUAUUUUCACUGUUUGCACAUGAUUUGAUCCUAUACCAAGAAGAUUUAAAGAACUGUACCAAAAGACUGUUAGAGCUAAUGAAUAAAUUCAGCAAAGUAGCAGGUUACAAAAUCAACAUACCUUUCAUGUAUCCCAGCAGUGAUUCUGCUGAGAAAGAAUCAGGGAAACAAUUGCUUUCACAAUAGCCCCAAGAAAAUGAAAUAACAAGGCAUAAAGCUAACCAAGGAGGUGAAAGACCUCUACAAUGAAAACUAUAGAACAUUGAAGAAAGAAAUUGAAGAACUCAGAAGAUGGAAAGACCUCUCAUGUUCUUGGAUAGGCAGAAUUCAUAUUGCUAAAAUGACCAUAUUACUGAAAGGAAUAUACAGAUUUGAUGUGGUACCCAUCAAAAUAUCAAUGACGUUCUUCACAGCACUAGAAAAAUCAGUCCUAAAAUUCAUAUGGAAGAAUAAAAGGCCCAAAUAGUCAAAAUAAUUACAACCCAAAAUAAUUAAUAAAUAAUGCUAGAAGCAUCACAAUUUCUGACUUCAAAAAUCUACUACAAAGCUAUAGUAACAAAAACUACAUGAUACUAGCAUAAAAAUAGGCACCUAGAACAAUGAUACAGAUUAGAAGACAGAGAGAAAAACCUGUGCAUCUACAGUCGUCUGAUCCUUGAUAAAGGUGCCAAAAACAUACAAUGGAGAAAAGAUAGUCUUUUUAACAAAUGGCACAAGGGAAACUGGUUAUUCAUAUGUAGAAGAGAAAAACUAGAUCUUUAUCUCUCACCCUGCACAAAAGUCAACUCAAAAUGGAUCAAAGAUGUAGGAAUUAGACCAGAAACUAUGCAACUUCUAGAAGAAAUGUAGGGUUAAUCCUACAACAUAUAGGCACAGGCAAUGGCCUUCUGAAUAGGAUACCUAAGGCUCAGGAAAUAAGGCCAAGUGUUAAUAAAUGGGAUGCUAUGGAAUUGAAAAAGCAUCUGCACAACAAAGGAAACAAUUAUCAAUGUGAAAAGAGAAGCUACAGAAUGGUGGAAAAAUCUUUGCUAGCUAUUUUUCUGACAGAGAAUUAAUAUCCAGAAUUUAUAAAGAAAUCAAAAAACUUUACACCAAAAAAUUAGAUAAUCCAAUUAAUAAAUGGGCAAAUGAACUCAAUGCAUACUUCUCAAAGAAAUAUAACAGCCAAAAAAUACAUGAAAAAAUGUUCAACAUCAUUAGCAAUUAGGGAAAUGCAAAUCAAAACUACACUGAGAUUUCAUCUCACAUCAGUCAGAAUGGAUGAAUGGAUAAAGAAAAUGUGACUUAUAUAAAAAAUGGAGUUUUAUUCAGCCAUAAAGAAUGAAAUUAUGUCAUUUACAGGAAAAUGAAUGGAAUUAUAGACCAUUUUAAGUGGAAUAAGUCAAACUCGGAAGAUCAAGGGUGGUAUAUUUUCUCUUAUAAGCAGAAGCUGGAAAGGAAAAAGAAAAAUGUGGGGGUGGAUCUCAUGAAAAUCAAAGAGUGAUCUGUAUUAGAAAGGGAUGAAGGGGUGAAUGGUGGGGAUGGAGGAGAGAAGUAAAGGGGAUCCAUAUUGGCCAAAUUAUAUUGUUAUAUUGUCUGCAUGUAUGAAUAUGUAACAACAAAUCCCAUCAUAUGUACAACUAUAAUAUCCCAAUAAAAAAAUGUAGAAAAACAACAAAAAGACCAGGAACAAGACAAGCCUGGCUGAUUUGCCCACUAUCUGGUCUAUAUGGAAUUAGAAAUUCUAGCCAGACUAAUUAGUCAAGAAAGAAAAAAAAAAUGGUAUCCAAAGUGGUAAGGAAGAAGCAAAACUAUCUUUGUUCACAGAUGACAUGAUCUUAUACAUAAUAAACCCUGAAGAUCUCACACAAACACAAAAGAGCUACUAAAUCGGUUCAGCAAAGUUAUACAAAAU
rnacentral:lncRNA from 1 species